ensembl:lncRNA
CGGAGCUGCGUGCCCAUGGCGUCCGGGGCUCCCGAGCUUGGUGCUGGGGUGUGCAGCCACUCUUCCUUAUCUGGCGCCCAGUUCUGCUGCGAGGACCCCGGCCGGGGCUCGGCCUGGGCCAAGGCCGCUGCGGUGGCCCAGGGCCCGGGCCCCUUCCUCCCGCGGAACGUGCUCAGCGAGAGGGAGCGCAGGAGGCGGAUCUCCUUGAGCUGCGAACGCCUGCGGGCCCUGCUCCCCCAGUUCGACGGCCGGCGGGAGGACAUGGCGUCCAUCCUGGAGAUGUCAGUGCAGUUCCUCCGGCUCGCCGGCGGCCCGGUGCCCGGCUGGGAGCAGCACGCCGUUCUUGGUUCCUCCAAGGAGAUGUGGCACAAGUGGCCGAAGGAUGUUUUGCAGCUGGCCCUGGGGAAUCAGGUCCCAGCAGGUGCAGCAGACCUCGACGUGGAAAUAGCCAGCGUGACCAUGCAACAGACUCCUCUGAGCUGUGCAGCUGCGGGUGUGGACGAGGGCCAGGUGCAGGACGGGCUGCCGGCCCUCUCUGAGCCUGCCAGCCUGCUGCCCCGGUCCCCAGGCCGGCGUCCCUGCAAGGCCCUGAGGCUGUCCCCAGUGUGGCCUCCCUGCUCUCGGCAGCCACCCUCCCCCCUGGUGAGCGAGGAGCCUCAGAGCUGCCUGGGCCAGGUUGGGCCCCCAGCGCAGGAGAGUGACGUGGCCGUGACGCCGGGCGCCAGGUGGGUGCCCCGUGGGGUGUGCACGUGGGUGCCUGCGGCUCACGGGCCGCCCGCACCCUGCCUGGGCCGGCUGCCCUUCGCGUCCUCCGUGUCGGCUGGCUCAGCCUGGCUCUGCCGGCUGGCUUUCUGAUGUGUGUUUCUGCAAGUCUGUUGUCUCCCUAAUUGUCUUCU